rnacentral:rRNA from 1 species
UAACGCGCGAGGAACCUGCCUCAAAGAGGGGGACAACAGUUGGAAACGACUGCUAAUACCGCAUAAGCCCACGGCUCGGCAUCGAGCAGAGGGAAAAGGAGCAAUCCGCUUUGAGAUGGCCUCGCAUCCGAUUAGCUAGUUGGUGAGGUAAUGGCCCACCAAGGCGACGAUCGGUAGCCGGACUGAGAGGUUGAACGGCCACAUUGGGACUGAGACACGGCCCAG